rnacentral:ncRNA from 1 species
ACAAUGAUACUUCCGUCCAGUCACAGUCCGAGCGGACAUGCCGUUGGCAUAAGCCGUCGCAGGCAAUGAGGGCGGCCGUGGGCGAUCCCUGCGGUGGUGAAAACC